rnacentral:rRNA from 1 species
UACGUAGGGGGCUAGCGUUGUCCGGAAUCAUUGGGCGUAAAGCGCGUGUAGGCGGUCCGGUAAGUCCGCUGUGAAAGUCGAGGGCUCAACCCUCGAAUGCCGGUGGAUACUGUCGGGCUAGAGUGCGGAAGAGGCGAGUGGAAUUCCUGGUGUAGCGGUGAAAUGCGCAGAUAUCAGGAGGAACACCAAUUGCGAAGGCAGCUCGCUGGGACGUAACUGACGCUGAGACGCGAAAGCGUGGGGAGCAAACAGG